ACGCCGGGUUACGGCGCCCGAUGCGGACGCUUAUCAGACCCCAUGAAAGGUGUUGGUUGCUAUAGACAGCAGGACGGUGGCCAUGGAAGUCGGAAUCCGCUAAGGAGUGUGUAACAACUCACCUGCCGAAGCAACUAGCCCUGAAAAUGGAUGGCGCUCCAGCGUCGAGCCCAUACCCGGCCGCCGGUGGCACAGAACAUAAUGAGAGAGUUCACAAAAACACUCUUGACGAGUGCAAAAAAAAUGCCCCGGCGAGUAGGAGGGUCGCAGCGGCGUGCGUUGAAGGUGUCGGGCGAGAUCCCGCCUGGAGCCGCCGCUGGUGCAGAUCUUGGUGGUAGUAGCAAAUACUCGAGUGAGAACCUUGAGGACUGAAGUGGAGAAGGGUUCCAUGUGAACAGCAGUUGAACAUGGGUCAGUCGGCCCUAAGGAAUAGGGGAAACCCGUUCCGAAAUUGUUGGGGAAAUGUGAAACGAACGAGCACAUAUGCGAGAAACGAACGCACCCCAAAGAGACCGAAAGGGAAUCGGGUUAAUAUUCCCGAACCCGGACGCGGAGAUCGGCCCUUCGGGGCCCAAUGCGGUAACGCAAACGAACUCGGAGAAGUCGGCGGGAGUCCCGGGAAGAGUUGUCUUUUCUUUGUAAGGGACGGACUCCCUGGAAUCGGCUCGCCCGGAGAGAGGGAUGUUGUUCCCGUAAAGCACCGCGGCUCUUGCGGUGUCCGGAGCACUCCUGCCGGCCCUUGAAAAUCCGAGGGAGAGAGAAUGAUUUUCGCGCCGGACCGUACCCAUAUCCGCAGCA
rnacentral:rRNA from 1 species